GGAGACGUAUCGAAGUGGCUAUAACGAGCCGCACUCGAAAUGCGGUGUACCUACGGGUACCGAGGGUUCGAAUCCCUCCGUCUCCG
rnacentral:tRNA from 1 species